AGUGAACGCUGGCGGUAGGCCUAACACAUGCAAGUCGAACGGCAGCACAGUAAGAGCUUCCUCUUACGGGUGGCGAGUGGCGGACGGGUGAGGAAUACAUCGGAAUCUACUUUUUCGUGGGGGAUAACGUAGGGAAACUCACGCUAAUACCGCAUACGACCUACGGGUGAAAGCAGGGGAUCUUCGGACCUUGCGCGAUUGAAUGAGCCGAUGUCGGAUUAGCUAGUUGGCGGGGUAAAGGCCCACCAAGGCGACGAUCCGUAGCUGGUCUGAGAGGAUGAUCAGCCACACUGGAACUGAGACACGGUCCAGACUCCUACGGGAGGCAGCAGUGGGGAAUAUUGGACAAUGGGCGCAAGCCUGAUCCAGCCAUACCGCGUGGGUGAAGAAGGCCUUCGGGUUGUAAAGCCCUUUUGUUGGGAAAGAAAAGCAGCAGGUUAAUACCCCGCUGUUCUGACGGUACCCAAAGAAUAAGCACCGGCUAACUUCGUG
rnacentral:rRNA from 1 species